rnacentral:rRNA from 1 species
GAUGAACGCUGGCGGCGUGCCUAAUACAUGCAAGUCGAGCGAACGGACGAGAAGCUUGCUUCUCUGAUGUUAGCGGCGGACGGGUGAGUAACACGUGGAUAACCUACCUAUAAGACUGGGAUAACUUCGGGAAACCGGAGCUAAUACCGGAUAAUAUUUUGAACCGCAUGGUUCAAAAGUGAAAGACGGCCUUGCUGUCACUUAUAGAUGGAUCCGCGCUGCAUUAGCUAGUUGGUAAGGUAACGGCUUACCAAGGCAACGAUGCAUAGCCGACCUGAGAGGGUGAUCCGCCACACUGGAACUGAGACACGGUCCAGACUCCUACGGGAGGCAGCAGUGGGGAAUCUUCCGCAAUGGGCGAAAGCCUGACGGAGCAACGCCGCGUGAGUGAUGAAGGUCUUCGGAUCGUAAAACUCUGUUAUUAGGGAAGAACAUAUGUGUAAGUAACUGUGCACAUCUUGACGGUACCUAAUCAGAAAGCCACGGCUAACUACGUG